rnacentral:rRNA from 1 species
UACGUAGGGGGCAAGCGUUGUCCGGAUUUAUUGGGCGUAAAGAGCUCGUAGGCGGUCUGUCGCGUCUGCUGUGAAAACUCGGGGCUUAACCCCGGGCCUGCAGUGGGUACGGGCAGACUAGAGUGCGGUAGGGGAGACUGGAAUUCCUGGUGUAGCGGUGAAAUGCGCAGAUAUCAGGAGGAACACCGGUGGCGAAGGCGGGUCUCUGGGCAGUAACUGACGCUGAGGAGCGAAAGCGUGGGGAGCGAACAGG